UACGGAGGAUCCGAGCGUUAUCCGGAAUUAUUGGGUUUAAAGGGUGCGUAGGCGGCCAUUUAAGUCAGCGGUGAAAUUUUGCAGCUUAACUGUAACAGUGCCGUUGAUACUGUUUGGCUAGGAUUUGGUUGUAGUGUGCGGAAUGUGUGGUGUAGCGGUGAACUGCUUAGAUAUCACACAGAACACCGAUUGCGAAGGCAGCACACUAAGUCAUUAUUGACGCUGAGGCACGAAAGUGUGGGGAUCAAACAGGAUUAGA
rnacentral:rRNA from 1 species